rnacentral:rRNA from 1 species
UACAGAGGGUGCAAGCGUUGUUCGGAAUUAUUGGGCGUAAAGCGCGCGUAGGCGGUUACUCAAGUCGGAUGUGAGAGCCCUCGGCUUAACUGAGGAAGUGCACCCGAAACUGAGUAGCUAGAGUACUAAAGAGGGUCGCGGAAUUCCCGGUGUAGAGGUGAAAUUCGUAGAUAUCGGGAGGAACACCGGUGGCGAAGGCGGCGACCUGGGUAGAUACUGACGCUGAGGCGCGAAAGCCAGGGGAGCAAACGGG